rnacentral:lncRNA from 1 species
CGAGGCUGGGGGAGCAGCCGUUGGCUCUGGUGCCCCUGGGGGUGGGAGCACGAGUGGGCAAGGAUGAUGGUGAGGCAGAGGAGGCGGCCCCGAGGGAGCGCCCGGCUGAGAGGCGGGGGGCCGAGGGGCCCGGGGAGCGGGCGUCACCGAGGGCCCUGGAAGCGGCAGGGCUGGGGGAGAGGAGACGCGUGUGUGGAGCAUGGGGACCCCAGCCCAGCUCCCACUUGCAGACCUGGGCCGCGGGCUGCCGGCCGAGUGGCCGGGGGGCCUGGCUGCCCAGGAGGCGGGCCGGGGCCGCGGCCGGGGGCGCGGAGCGGAGUUAGGGUCGCCAGGCCGAGCCGAGGUGGGACGGACCGACGCAGAGAGGAAGGGAAGCCACCUGGCCUGAAGAUCCUGUCUCUAAGAUCCCAUUCUGAGGUACUGAAUGUUAGGAGUACUACAUAUCUCCUUUUUUUUUCUUUUUCUUUUUUUUUUUGAGACGGGGUCUUCCUCUGUCAUCCAGGCUGGAGUGCGGUGGCACUUGGAUCACUGCAACCUCCAGCCCCCUCAUCCCCGGGCUCAAGCAAUCCUCCCACCUCAGCUUCUCGAGUAGCUGGGACUACAGGUGCGCACUACCACACCUGGCUAUUUUUGUGUAUUUUUAGUAGAGACGGGGUCUUGCCAUGUUGCCCGGGCUGAUCUUGAACUCCUGAGCUCAAGUGAUCCUGUGGCCUUGGCCUCCCAAAGUGCUGGGAUUACAGGCAUGCGCCACUGUGCCCAGCCCCCUGGAGUACUACCUAUCUCUUUUAGGGAACAAAAGUCAGCCCAGAACAGGUGUAUGUCAUUUAUCAUGGGUACUAGACCCUCAACACCUACACAUAGGAAAUGAAAAUUG